rnacentral:rRNA from 1 species
UACGUAGGGGGCAAGCGUUGUCCGGAUUUAUUGGGCGUAAAGAGCGUGUAGGCGGCCAGGUAGGUCAGCUGUGAAAACUCGAGGCUCAACCUCGAGACGUCGGUUGAAACCACCUGGCUAGAGUCCGGAAGAGGAGAGUGGAAUUCCUGGUGUAGCGGUGAAAUGCGCAGAUAUCAGGAAGAACACCCGGGGCGAAGGCGGCUCUCUGGGACGGUACUGACGCUGAGACGCGAAAGCGUGGGGAGCGAACAGA